rnacentral:tRNA from 1 species
GCGGGAGUAGCAAAGCCUGGCCAAAUGCGCAGGACUUAAGAUCCUGUGGGUUAGAAGCCUGAAACACGCGGAAAGCGCGUUUCGGUUGACCAAUCCCUUCGCCAGUUCGAAUCUGGCCUCCCGCA